AAGAGGAGGAAGAAGAAGAAGAAGGAAACAGAAGCAUUUCAAAAUCUCGGAAAAAAUUAGCUGGGGAGCAUAAAGAUCAGUUGCAAAAACUUAAAGAAAAGGACCCUGAAUUCUAUCAAUUCUUACAAGAGCAUGAUGAGGAGCUUCUACAAUUUGAUGAUGAGGAUAUUGAGGAAGAUGUUGAUAAUGAUGCAGAGGAGGCGAAAAUGCAAGUGGAUGAGGAAAUUAGCGGUCAUGAUAUUGCUGAAAAGGAAGAGAAACCAUCUAAAAAUGUUAUUACUAGUGCAAUGGUUGACUCUUGGUGUAAUUCAGUUCGAGAAGACGGAAAAAUAGGUGCUCUUCGUUCUCUUAUGAAAGCUUUUAGAAUUGCAUGCCACUAUGGUGAUGAUGGUGCGGAUGACUCUUCAAUUAAGUUUACUAUCAUGUCCAGCAGUGUCUUUAAUAAGAUAAUGUCAUUUGUACUCGGUGAAAUGGAUGGAAUUCUUCGUAAAUUGUUGGGGCUACCUGCUUCUGGUGGUAAGAAAGAAACUAUAAAUGAUUUGAUGAUCACAAGAAAAUGGAAGAACUAUAACCACCUGGUGAAGUCGUAUUUGGGAAAUGCUCUACAUGUUUUAAACCAAAUGACUGACACAGACAUGAUAUCUUUUACAUUACGGCGUCUCAAAUAUUCAGCUGUACUCUUGGCUGCUUUUCCAAAUCUAUUACGGAAGUAUACCAAGGUUGUCCUUCACUUUUGGGGUACAGGAGGAGGUGCACUCCCUGUUGUCUGUUUUCUUUUUCUGAGAGAUUUAUGUAUUCGACUUGGAUCUGACUGUAUAGAUGAAUGCUUCAAAGGCAUAUACAAAGCUUAUGUUUUGAAUUGUCAGUUCAUAAAUGCUGCUAAGCUACAGCAUAUACAGUUUCUUGGGAAUUGUGUCAUAGAACUUCUUGGGGUGGAUCUUCCAACUGCUUAUCAACAUGCCUUUGUUUUCAUCAGACAAUUGGCGAUGAUUUUGCGGGAUGCUAUUACUAUGAAAACUAAGGAAUCAUUUCGCAAGGUUUAUGAAUGGAAGUUCAUAAAUUGCCUUGAGCUUUGGACUGGAGCUAUCUGUGCCUAUAGUUCAGAAGCUGAUUUUAGGCCUCUUGCUUAUCCAUUGACCCAAAUAAUUUCCGGAGUUGCUCGCCUAGUUCCAACUGCUCGAUAUUUCCCCCUUAGAUUGAGGUGUGUUAGAAUGCUCAAUCGGAUUGCUGCUUCUGCUGGUACUUUCAUACCUGUUUCUACACUGCUUUUGGACAUGCUGGAGAUGAAAGAAUUGAAUAGGCGCCCUACUGGAGGUGUUGGGAAAGCUAUUGAUUUGCGUACCAUGCUGAAGGUGAGCAAACCUACCCUAAAGACACGAGCAUAUCAGGAAGCAUGCGUAUUUUCUGUGAUAGAAGAGCUUGCUGAACAUUUAGCUCAAUGGAGCUAUUCUGUUGCUUUCUUUGAAUUGUCUUUUGUUCCAGCUGUGCGGUUACGUAAUUUUUACAAAAGUACCAAAGUUGAAAGGUUCAGAAAAGAAAUACGUGAGCUUAUUCAUCAGGUUGAGGCUAAUUCCAAGUUUACGAAUGAAAAGCGUAUGUCAAUAAAUUUUCUACCAAAUGAUCCAGCAGCUACAGCUUUUCUUGAGGACGAGAAAAAGUCAGGGGCCAGCCCUCUGUCACGGUAUGUUGCAACUCUGCAACAGAGAGCACAACAACGAUAUGAGUCAUUGGAGGAAUCCAGUGUCCUUGUAGGUGAACACUCUUUUGUCUUUGGGAAUAAGGCGUCCGAAAUGAUAGAAGAUGAAGAUGAUGAUGCUGAAAAUGAGAAAGGUGCAGCCAUCUUUAGCUCCUCUUGGUUACCAGGAGGUGAAUCCAGGUACAUUCCCCUCCUCCCUUCUUUCUCUCUUUCUCCCCAUUGUCUUUGCACAUGCAUAGGCACAUGCAUGAUACAUCCAUAAUAAUCUCGACUCUCUCUCUCUCUCUGCUCUCCUUCCAUCUCCCCCUCCCUUUCCACACGAACUCAUGUACACAUUCAUUAGAAUCUAGAGUUUAUUAAUACGGACUUGUACUUUCAAUUCCUUGAGAAUAUUAUUGUGUUUGUCAUUAUGUGAGGGUGACCCUUGAUGCAAUGGUAAGAUUACUCCUUUGUGACUUGGAGGUCAAAAAUUUGAGUUGCAGAUUCUCUUUGCAUAAAGCAGGGAACAAGAAGUGUAUGAUACAUGACCUUGCACCUAUCCUUGCAAAGCUUGGAACGCCCUUGUUCAUGGAUCUAUUUUGUCUUUAGUACCCUUGUGACAACCCAGAUAACUUUACCUGUUUGGUUUAUAGGGUCAAGGCUUCUAAGGAGAAAAAGAAAACGAAGAAGAGAACAGGGAGGCAGCAAGAAGCAGCAACUCUGGAUGAAGAUGUUGUGGAGGACCUGGUACUUAGUUCUGAUGAAGAUGGAUCUCUGAAUGACUCCGUUGCUUCUUCUGAAGAUGAUGAUGAGAAAUUGGCGUCUCCUAAACGGCAGUGUAAGCAGCGGAAACCUUCUAAAAAUUUUCCAAAGAAGAAAUCUCGUCCAAAGAAGUCAAAGAAGAAAAAUUCUGCAUGCCAUACCUCUUCUGAUGGUAAAGGUGAUAAAGCAAAACCAGUGCCUCCUAAACAGCACAGAAAGAAGCCGAAACCUUCUGGAAUCUUGUCAAAGAAGAAUGUACAAUCUCAGACAAAGAAGAGGAAAAGAACUAAUUAAUCGUUUAGCAAAGUUGAAAAGAUUUUGAUCAUUAAUAUUGAGGAUAUGAUUUGUUUUGGCUUAAUAUUAAGCACUAUAAAUUGCCAUAAAAUAUGAAGUUUAAAUUACAUCAUAUUGGUAAUUUUAGAUCCUGAACUUGGGAAUGCAAUGGUA
rnacentral:misc_RNA from 1 species